rnacentral:miRNA from 1 species
GGGUUGUCCAAAAAGUUCGUUGGGGUUUUCCUGUAAAAUCUUACAGAAAAACCGGAACAAACUUUUUGGCCAACCCA